rnacentral:rRNA from 1 species
CCUACGGGUGGCAGCAGUGGGGAAUAUUGGGCAAUGGGCGCAAGCCUGACCCAGCAAAGCCGCGGGAAGGAAGAAGGCGCUCGGGGUGUAAACUUCUUGUUGCAGGGACGAAGCAAGUGACGGUACCGGAGGAAUAAGCCACGGCUAACUACGGGCCAGCAGCCGCGGUAAGACGUAGGCGGCAAGCGUUAGACGGAGUGACGGGGUGUAAAGGGCGUGUAGGCGGGACGGCUAGGCAGAUGUGAAAACACGGGGCUCAACCUGUGGCCUGCCUUUGAAACUGUCGUUCUUGAGUGCUGGAGAGGCAGGCGGAAUUCCUAGUGUAGCUGUGAAAUGCGUAGAUAUUAGGAGGAACCCCGGUGGCGAAGGCGGUCUGCUGGACAGCAACUGACGCUGAGGCACGAAAGCGUGGGGAGCAAACAGGAUUAGAUACCCUUGUAGUC